rnacentral:lncRNA from 1 species
AGAAAAUAUUUUAUCAGGUGGAGCACCUUUUUGUAAAAACGCCCUGAUACGUGAUUAGUAGACAAAGAAAAGUGUAACCAUAAAAAUUGCUGGAACAAAUUGUACGCAAAAAGAUGGAGUAUGAAACAAAUAAAAAGUGCAGUAUAAAACAGUUUGUCGAACACUUCGUGGAGUUCAGUGACACAAAAUCAAAUGAGUAUCCGUAAAACCUAAAAACAAUGAGUGGACUUAAUUCUUAAGAUGCUCGGCAAGAAUAUCAGAAGUGAGGGCCUUGCCUUUGGCUUCAAGAGCACUGACCAAUGCAGCACCUACGCCACUACCGUCUUCGGCGGGGAUGGUAACAACUUUGCUGCCAAUUUCCUCACCAAGGAUAUCCUUAAAUGCUUGAGCAAGACGAUCCUUAAAACGAGGGUAUAAGUUGUAGACACUACCAUCAGUACCUACAAUCAUAGAUGGCUUAUUCAUUUUACGAACAAGGGCGCAUACACCACACGCAGAAAGACGGGCAGAACGAGUUCCAAUCAAUUCGCAUGCACGACGAAUGAAUUGACGCUCUUCUUCGGUGGUCUUGAGACCAUAGGUUUCCUCAAAUAGGGUUUGAGUUUCAUCAAGGUUCUCAAAGGGGUCAACUUCAAUAGCGCUGAGCACAGAGGUAUCCAUGGCCAAGGGGUCACGAAUCUUGGUAACGUCCUGACCGUUAAAGAGAGCUCCCUGUUCAUAAAGGUCAAGAAGAAUACGACGCAAGAUAUCACCCAAAUAGCAUCCAGCAAUCAUUUUCUCGUACGUUUGAAGACCGGGUCUGGGAGACUCUUCAUCAAUAGCAACAUCGUAUUUGGUACGAGGAAGGACAACAUGCUGGUUGUCAAAAUCGCACCAUUCACAGUUGAUGAUCAUGUUCAUAUCUUCAGGGAAGUCAUACUUAUGAAGCUUAGGAAUUUCUGAGAACUUUUCAAUGUAACAAGCAUUACAUCCAGUUCCAAAGAUGACACCAAUCUCAGUACCUGGGCUGGCAUAGUUGGAAGCAACCAAUGUACCAGUAGUAUCACUCAAAAUGGCAUUGAGUCUAACGUUGUUACACCCAACACGCUUCAAGGCUGCUGAUAAAAGAGGACCUACACUUUCACCCUCAACGCCAUCAAUAUCAAAGCCCUUAGUCCAGGCAACUAAUGAAGCAUCGUUAAUGGAGCGUUGAACACAGGGGUAAGAAAAGGUGAAACCAAUUUCCAAAUUUUGGCUUUUACCUGGGUGAACCUCUUCCACAAAUUUCUUGAUACAGUCGGCAAUGUAAUCAAAGAGGGCCUCACGAGUGCCAACUUUGAGUUCUUGAGGUAGACGGUAUUUGCUUUGAGUAAUGUCGAAUUUACCGUUGCCUUGAACCUCAACUGCACAAACACGCAAGUUAGUACCACCUAAAUCUAAUGCCAAAUAAGAGCCAUGCUCAUUGCCAUCAGGAGUACCAAUGAUCCAUGUGGGGACCAUUGGAACAUCACCCGGGUUCGUGGUUAAGCCCUUGUAAAGCUCAGAAACAAAGCGAUCGGUAACGCGAUGUAAAAGUUCAGUGGGAAUGGUGAAUUGUUCUUCCAGUUCAUCCAAAUGAUCUUGUAAAGUUUUGUUCAAUUUGAUAUUUGAACCCUUACGACUAGGUGUACGAGAAGGCCAAUGGUAAGCGUCGUGCAAGGACAUUUUGAUAACUUCAGUAGUGAUACACAAAAGAAAGGAAGAAGUGAAAAGAUGGCAAUUCCUUGACACUUGGAGUUACGUAGGAAAAGAAAAAGAUCUUUAAAAUUUCAAAAGCAAAGGCCACUUAUUUUAAAGAGUUCAAGACACGUUUAGUCACAAAAAGAGAAUAUGUAGGUUCUCUGCAAGACGAGUAGGAUAUCAAAAAGAGCUUUGUAUCUUAGCUUAAAGUAAGAGAUUGUAAUCAACCUUUGGCAACCUUGCGGAUACUUAAAAGUGUUUGGUGGUUAAAAGGAAGUGUGGUACGCGGAACCAA